UCAAAAAGUAGUUUACACAAAAUAGUAGUUUUGGGUACUACAGAAUAUUAUUCUUUUUGAG
rnacentral:tRNA from 1 species